ACCUGUGAAACGAAUCUAAGUUCCCCCUUAAUCUCUCUCUAUGGACAUCCACCAAGCCCUCAUGUAGAAAAUUAAGAGAAAUUUAAAGGAGGUACAGCUCCUUUAAAAAAGAAUACAAUCUCUCCUAGCGGAUAACCCUAUCAACACCUGUCUAUGAACUGUGGGCCUUAAAGCAGCCACCAAUAAAGAAUGCGUCAAAGCUCUACACUUAAAGAUAUAAAGACAAUAUGACUCCCUUAUUAUUAACAGGUUAACCUAUAACAAUAGGAGAAUUAAUGCUAAAAUGAGUAACUAGGGUCUCCCCUCUCAAGCGCAAGCUUACAUUUAUACAUUAUUAACYAGACUUCCACCAAUACCACAAUUUUAACAAGAUCAUCUAUUACCUACCCCUGUUAACCCAACCCAGGAGCGCCCGCUAGAAAGAUUAAAAUCUGCAAAAGGAACUAGGCAAACCCAGGGCCCGACUGUUUACCAAAAACAUAGCCUUCAGCCAUCCAAGUAUUGAAGGUGAUGCCUGCCCAGUGACACUAUGUUUAACGGCCGCGGUAUCCUA
rnacentral:rRNA from 1 species